UCCCAACCAUCUUGAUAACCGCAUGUUCCUGGUAUAGUUCUUUGUCCUGGGACACAAGAACCUGGGCGAGUCAGGAGGGGACCGCGCUUCUGGCUGGGGCAGGUGUGGAAGGCUGGGACUCGCAUGGAUCUGUCCGUUCUGAUUCUCCUCCUGCUAUUACUGCUGCUGUUACUAGGUCGAUUAAGGCGCGAAUACCGGCUAAGCACCACAGCUCACCCAAAAGGGAGAAAAAGAUACCCAGGAGAUCCAGCCAGCGGCCCACGGUCAUCAGCAGAAGGAAGAGACCACCCAUGCGCACCAGUACCGUCUGGACCUGGCCCUGUAGGCUGAAGCGAUGCUGCCGCUGCUCCUCUGUAGGACGCGGUUGUCACUGUCUCAGCCGGCACCUUCUGGAGGUCAGCUGGGGCCAGCCUGUUCCACUCCUCAGCUCCUUUCCCCAGGGACCUUGUCAGCUUCCCCGACUGCCUUCCCGCAGCCCUGCUUCCGUCUCUGGGCACCUACAGGAUUUCUUACCCACCCUUAAGUUUCCCCCUGGUUGAGGACAGAGCCCUGCCCGUUGAUGGCAGGGAUCUAAGGUUCUCUCCCUUUCUGCCUGUCAGUCUGAAUCAUCCACAGCUCAGUCGGCUUCUGCCAGUCUCUCUCUCAUCCCACCCUGGUCCCAGCCACCUUCCCCCCUCGCCGAAGCUUACUCAAUGAGGCUCCUGAGUUUUGUUCCCGACCAAGCUCCACUGACCAUCUAAAGCGACCUAAACACGCCAAUAAGAUGACACCAUCCCUCUGCUUUUAGAGAAGAACUCUAAUGGAAGCCUUGUUUUUCACGGUC
ensembl:antisense